ACGUGAUCUGAGUUCAGACCGGAGCAAUCCAGGUCAGUUUCUAUCUAUAACAGAGCUUUUCCUAGUACGAAAGGACCGAAAAAGCAUGGCCAAUACCUCACGCAAGCCAUCCUUAAUAAUUUAUGAUUAAAACUCAAUAAAUAAUUUUCUUAAACCCCCUCCCCUCAAGAAAAGAGA
rnacentral:rRNA from 1 species